ensembl:snRNA U6 U6 spliceosomal RNA
GUGCUCGCCUCAGUAGCACACAUACUAAAAUUGGAACGUAGCAUGACACCUGUGCGAGGAUGACACACAAAUUCAUGAAGGAUUCCAUAUUUUU